UCCUAAAGCGUAACGGAGGCGCACGAAGGUUCCCUCAGGCUGAUUGGAAACCAGCCGUAGAGUGUAAAGGCAUAAGGGAGCUUGACUGCGAGACUGACAAGUCGAGCAGGUGCGAAAGCAGGUCUUAGUGAUCCGGCGGUUCUGGAUGGAAGGGCCGUCGCUCAACGGAUAAAAGGUACUCCGGGGAUAACAGGCUGAUCUCCCCCAAGAGUCCACAUCGACGGGGAGGUUUGGCACCUCGAUGUCGGCUCAUCGCAUCCUGGGGCUGAAGAAGGUCCCAAGGGUUCGGCUGUUCGCCGAUUAAAGCGGUACGUGAGCUGGGUUUAGAACGUCGUGAGACAGUUCGGUCCCUAUCUGACGUGGGCGCAGGAUAUUUGAGGGGAGCUGUCCCUAGUACGAGAGGACCGGGAUGGACGAACCUCUAGUGUGCCAGUUGUCCCGCCAGGGGCAGCGCUGGGUAGCUAUGUUCGGAAGGGAUAACCGCUGAAAGCAUCUAAGUGGGAAGCCCCCCUCGAGAUUAGAUAUCCCUUUCCGGUGGAGACACCGGAGCUAAAGAUCCCUUGUAGACUACAAGGUUGAUAGGCCAGGGGUGUAAGCCCGGUAACGGGUUGAGCUUACUGGUACUAAUGGAUCGUGCGGCUUGGCCAUAAUCUAACAG
rnacentral:rRNA from 1 species